rnacentral:rRNA from 1 species
CGCGGCCUAUCAGCUUGUUGGUGAGGUAAUGGCUCACCAAGGCGUCGACGGGUAGCCGGCCUGAGAGGGUGACCGGCCACACUGGGACUGAGACACGGCCCAGACUCCUACGGGAGGCAGCAGUGGGGAAUAUUGCACAAUGGGCGGAAGCCUGAUGCAGCGACGCCGCGUGAGGGACGACGGCCUUCGGGUUGUAAACCUCUUUCAGCAGGGAAGAAGCGAAAGUGACGGUACCUGCAGAAGAAGCGCCGGCUAACUACGUGCCAGCAGCCGCGGUAAUACGUAGGGCGCAAGCGUUGUCCGGAAUUAUUGGGCGUAAAGAGCUCGUAGGCGGUUUGUCGCGUCCGUCGUGAAAGUCCGGGGCUCAACUCCGGAUCUGCGGUGGGUACGGGCAGACUAGAGUGAUGUAGGGGAGACUGGAAUUCCUGGUGUAGCGGUGGAAUGCGCAGAUAUCAGGAGGAACACCGAUGGCGAAGGCAGGUCUCUGGGCAUUAACUGACGCUGAGGAGCGAAAGCAUGGGGAGCGAACAGGAUUAGAUACCCUGGUAGUCCAUGCCGUAAACGUUGGGCACUAGGUGUGGGGGACAUUCCACGUUUUCCGCGCCGUAGCUAACGCAUUAAGUGCCCCGCCUGGGGAGUACGG